UUCCAUUUUCGGCUCUUUUUAGGUCGGGAAAAAUGAGUAAAAAACAAGUUUAAAAACUCCAGGGCUAUAAACCUAACGCCACCGUUCUUCAAUUCUCAUUCUCCCCGUUCUCCCGGGAAGCAUAAAAUAUUUCUUCAGAGAUGGCUGGAAGAAAUCGCAUUCCUCGUGAAGCUUUAGAUCACCGACACGUUUACCCUCAGGGGACCCCUGUUGUUCGGGGUCCUUUGCCCCGUGUCAUGCCUCACCCUGCCCUAUUAGAGGAAGAGCUUGAAAUGCGACAUGUUGAAAUUCGCCGUCUUUUGGGCGAAAACCGGAGACUGAUAGAAGAUCGGGUAUCUCUGGAGCAAGAAUUAAAUGCUGCUAAGGAGGAGCUUCGUCACAUGAAUCUUGCCAUUUCUGAUAUUCGUGCUGAGCAAGAUGUGCAUUCAAGGGAGCUUAUUAAAAGGGGUUUGAAGAUGGAAGCCGAUCUUCGUGCAACUGAGCCUCUGAAAAAUGAGGCCAUGCAACUUAAAGCUGAAAUUCAGAGGCUUAGCACCAUUAGGCAGGAUUUAUCUGUGCAGAUUCAGACUCUCAGGCAAGAUCUUGCAAAGUUGCAGGCUGAUAACCAGCAAAUUCCGCUUUUGAGGGCAGAGAUUGAUGGACUGCAUCAGGAGCUUCUGCGUGCUAGAGCUGCUGUUGAAUAUGAAAAGAAUGCGAAGAUUGAGCUGAUGGAGCAAAGGCAGGCAAUGGAGAAGAAUUUGCUGACCAUGGCACGUGAAAUUGAAAAGCUGCGUUCAGAUCUUGCUAAUUCUGAUGGUAGAGCAAAGGGCGCAGGUGGACCUCUUAGGAUGAAGUUUACCAGCUCCGACCGCAGCUUCCAUACACCAUAUGGUGAUGGAUAUCGGAAUCCUGUGGGCGCUGCUGACAAGGGUAAUCUAUAUGGUUCCAGUUCUGCUUCUUGGGGAGGCUUUGAUAAAUCUCGGAUGACUCGCCGCUAAGAUAUUGAUGGCUUUAUGAACUUCAUGAGCUCGCACUUUGCUAGUCUUCUUUCUCUGCUUCCAAAUGAAGGAAAUGCGAAAGAAUGUGUGAUUCAUGAAUUUAUGCAGAACUGGUAAGCUCCUUUAUCCGAAAUUUCAUUGCGAGGUAAAGUAAAAAUAUUCAGGUAGCUUCUUAUUUUGUUGAAUAUUGAAUCUAAAAAUUUUUCUUGAUAAUACGCGAAAAGGAAAAUAGAUGAUUAUGUCAAGGUACAAGGUUCAUUGUGGUUCUCGGUCAAAGGUAAUUUGAAGCUUUAUUUUGUCAAGCUUUUAUCCUCGGGCUUCAAUUUAUCCUGUGAUCUAAUCUGGGUAAGGUUAAAUUAUAGAAAUUUUUUCAUCUGAUUGUAGGAAAGGUGUUAACCCUUGGGAAAAUGAUAAUUGUUUAGGCUGGUGAUGGGAACUAAACAUGUUAUGUUUUUUACGCAAUAUUAGACAGGGUGGAAUAGUGUUGUGAUAUCAAAAUUUUAGUUUCUUUUUUC